GUAUGUGAGAAUAUGCAACAUCUCUGGCCUGAAGGAUUUUCUUCCAAACCCAUGAGCAACCAGAGAUCUCUUCGACUGCCCAGGUGAGCCAGAUAGGCGAGCAGAUCAGGCUCGCGGAUAGAGAGAAUGUUUAGUCACCCUGGUUAUAGGGUGAGUUUUUGGCAGAGAUGUGUUUUUUUUUGGGAUAGAUAAUAUUGGAGUGACAUUUUUGUGUAUGGUUUGUAUAUUCUAGAAUCUGGUAUUGUACAGUUUAUGUAUGAAUGGUUUCAUGAUAUAUGUUUUUGCUGCGUAGGAAUGUUUACUAUAUAUAAAAAAAAGAAAAUGAUAAGAAUUUUGAUAUCGUUA